UACGUAGGGUGCAAGCGUUGUCCGGAAUUAUUGGGCGUAAAGAGCUCGUAGGCGGUGUGUCGCGUCGGCCGUGAAAACCUGGGGCUCAACUCUGGGCGUGCGGUCGAUACGGGCAUCACUUGAGUUCGGCAGGGGAGACUGGAAUUCCUGGUGUAGCGGUGGAAUGCGCAGAUAUCAGGAGGAACACCGAUGGCGAAGGCAGAUCUCUGGGCCGUAACUGACGCUGAGGAGCGAAAGCAUGGGGAGCGAACAGG
rnacentral:rRNA from 1 species